rnacentral:lncRNA from 1 species
GCGGCCAUCUGAGGCAGGACUCUAGGAGCCUCUGUCACACCCGGCAGUGCACAGGAUGAUUCAGAGAGAGGCUGUCCCAAGGCCUCCCGGCUCACUGGUCGCAGUCUUCCCGGUCCUCCCGCCACCCUCCACACAGCACCACUGCCACCCACAUCCCUGCUGGGCAGGAGAGGGGGUCGGGAGGGCAGACACAGGGCAGUGGGCGAGUCUGAUCCAGGUUUUGUGAGGCCUCCCUAUAAAGAAAAGAAUACAAACUUACAAAAACAAAAUUAGGUAUGACAGUGAAUAUUUCUUUAGGAUGAGGAAAAAAAAAAAGCAAACAUACAAAAUCCAGAAAACCAACAUCGUGUUUUUACGAAGGGCCUGCUCCAUCUCCAUAACACUUCUUCCUGCACUUUUUGGCUGCGUACUUUUUAUCUAUCUCAUUGUUUGAGAAUUUUACAUCACCUACGAUAGAAGGAAUAGAAACAUAAUUGCUCUUCCUCCAGCAUGGCUGAUUGAAAUUUGUUUUUUCUUAUUUAUAAUUAGAACACAUAGAACAGAUGACUUAACACAUGUGCACACAGCUUUGCAGUACAGCUAGAGGUCUGUGUACAUUAAACAACAAGUUCUGAUCAAUUCUAUUUACAAGAUUCCUGUUUGCGAAAGGAAGCAGGCCAGGCAUAGUGGCUCCCACCUGUAAUGCCAGUACUUUGGGAGCCCAAGGUGGGCGGAUCACUUGAGCGCAGGAGUUUAAGACCAGCCUGGCCAACAUGGUGAGAUCCUGUGUCUACCAAAAAAAAAAAAAAAAUAGCUGGAUGUGUAGUUCCAGCUACUCAGGAGGCUGAGGUGGAAGGAUUGCUUGAGCCUGGGAGGUUGAGGCUGCAGUGAGCUGUGACUGCCCUACUGCGCUGCAGCCUGGGCGACAGAGCAAGUCCCUAUAUCAAAAAAAAAGAGGAAGCAGCAAUGCUGGGUGCACAUUUAUAAUUGUAUACGAUGCAUUUAUCAACAGACCAUUUCUGCUCUGGCGAGGCCCUGAUGAGAGCUGAAUACUCUGCUUACAAUGGCACACGCCCGAGGACCGUCAGAGAGUCCACCGGGCGCUUGGGCUCCGUGUGUUUCAGACCAGCCUGGCCAACAUGGUAAAAUCUGCAUCCAUGUGCAGUGCAGAGCAUGGCAGGGUGCAUUCUCCUCCUCACCGUCUCUCCCAAGCACCUUCAGGUCGUGAUGCCGAAGAAACCAUCUAUGCCCAGGUCUUAAUCCAUAAAGGUGCCUAACAGAGGUCAGCGCUAUUGAAAGGAAAGUCUAACAUCGCUCUGGAAACAUUCGCUAGAAAUGAGAGACAUGGCAGGCCCCGCAGGGCGGCAGGGGGAAGCCGCAGGCAGACCAGGAGGCAGAAAGGAGCGAGGGAAAGGCCAAGCCACAGCCUCUGUUGGCUUCCUGGGAAAGCCGGGCAGAGCAGGGGAGACAGCUUGGGACGGGCUGAUUUGUCUGAUUCUGGGUUCCGGGGCUGUCCCUUGUGGUCUGGUUCUGGGCCUGGGUUGACACUGGGCAGGGAAAUAUUGGCUGGGGGUACAGAAGAUGAAUGAAGUGGUUUGGAGCAGGGGCUCUGGGCAGGAGGGGAGGUGCCAACAGCCCUGGUCAGGAGGUUGGCCCUGUCAUCAUGACCGCAAGUAGUCAAACGCAGGAUCUAAGGAGGCACAAAUCAAGGACGAAGCCAGCAGGAAGGAAAAGCUCAGCCCUCUGGGAAGAAAAGACCCGUUGUUAAGCUGAUGAAGGCCAUCUAUGGAAAAAGUCAGAGCUGCCAACACAGCUAACAGGAAAAUGUUGAAAGCUUUCUUUACAAGAUUGGCAAGGGGACAAAGACACCUAUUGGUGCCGCUGCUAUUCAAUAUCAGCCUGGAUGUGGCAGACUGCACAGUGAGUUGGGUAAAGUUUGUGAAGAAGAAAACAAAACUGUCUUUAUUCACAGAUGAUAUGGUUGUGUAUGCAGAAGAGUCUACAUAAUCCACAGGGAAAUUCUGAGGAUUCAGAGGAGUUUAGCAAAGUUGUUGGGUUCAAAAUCCAUAGGCAACAUUCCAUUUUCUUACUAUAUAUUAGCAACAAUGUUGGAAAAAUAAAAUUUAUAAAAAGACAUAAUAGCACAAAAUAUCAAGAAUCUAAGAAUAAUGUACAAGGUCACUAUACAGAAAUGUUAUUAGCAGGCAUUAAAGAUGGUCUAAACAAAUGGAGAUACCAUGUUCAUGGAUUAGAAGACUCAAAAUGAAUUCUUCCCAAAUUAAUUAAUUUUUUCCAAAUUGAUUUGUAGAACUAAAGAAAUUGCUAUCCAAAUCCUAACCAGGUUUUUGUGGAACUUAAAAUACUUACUCUAAAAUUUGUGUUGUUUUCGUUUUUGAUUUUUUUUUUUUCUUUUUCUUCUUCUUCUUAUAUUGAGACGGGGUUUCUCUAUGUUUUCCAGGCUGGUCUCAAACUCCUGGGCUCAAGCCAUCUGCCCGCCUCAGCCUCUCAAAGUGCUUGGAUUACAGGCAUGAAGCACUUCAUCCAGACUAAAAUUUGUAUGGAAAUACAAAUUCAAUUUGACAAAUAUUUGGCCAGGCAUGGUGGCUCAUGUCUAUAAUCCCAGCACGCUGGGAGGCUGAGGCGGGUGGAUCACUUGAGGUCAGGAGUUCGUGACCAGCCUGGCCAACAUGGUGAAACCCCGUCUCUACUAAAAAUACAAAAAUUAGCCUGAAAUCACUUGAACCCAGGAGGCGAAGGCUGCAGUGAGCCAAGAUUGUGCCACUGUACUCCAGCCUGGGCAAGAGAGAGAGACUGCAUCUCAAAAAGAAAAAAUAAUAAAUAAAAAAUAUUUCUUGAGCCCCUUAGUCCAGGGACUGCUUCUGGUACUUGGGAUGCCUCUAAGAACCCCACCCACAAAGACCCUUCUUCGUAGACCUUAGCAGGAGAGACACACAGUAAAGAGUAAACACAAUACAUAAGCAAAGUACCCAGUAUGGCAGGAGGUCAUAAGUGUUUUGCAAAAAACCAAGACUACAGAGGGGAGGGUCACCAGGACAUCUAGGGGCAGAGGUGGGGUGAGAAUCCAACCUUCCACACAGGCCAUCUCUGCGACCCAUCUCUGUGACCCCAACAAGAGGCCCCUCGCCGGCCAUCCCCGUUCCAGCUUCUGAUGUCCUGAUGUAGAAGCGUCUCCUCUGCAGCUCUGAGGUGAGAGGCCAAGCCCUCCGUGACCCCAAAAGGCCAGGGCUCCCCAAGUGUUAUCCACAAACACCCCUGUGGGGACGGCAGGCUCCUACAAGGCGCCCUUGCACAGGUCUCUUGCAGAGCUUCUCCACCCACUCUCUGGGCCCUGACACAGUGGGAGGGUGCCUGUCCUUACCCCAGCCGGAUGUCCCACCACACUCCUGCCUGGGGACUUCUGGCACGCAGGAGAGGCUGGACACACAGAUGCAGAGAGGCUUGCCCCAACGCCAUUGCCCGUUUUACCUUGAAGUUCGUGGUUCUUUAAUUCUUGUUCCAAACUGUGAGUCAACCUUUAAAAUAUAUGAUAUUGAAGUUCUCCUUCAGCCUCCGGUCUUUCAUCACAGUUAAAUCCAGAGAUUUCACGAGCAGUAGAUAAAUCUGCAGUAGAGAAAAGUGCUCCAAAGGUGGGCGCGCCAGGCUCCCAUUUGGAGCUGUUUAUAAAUGCUUUUAUGUAGACCCCUCCUAGAUGACGAGGAAUGGCCUCAGAGCAACCCUGGGAAGGAUGAGGAGGGGUCCGGGGACUCCAGACGAAAUCGCACAGCCACCUACCGUGUGAGUGGAAACCCAUGCUGCUUCUGCCUGGCCUCUAGGAUCCGCGUUCAGGGGAAGCCGUGUCCCUGGGGUCAUGAGACGUGAUUGUUCAGACCAAUGGAUGAGGCUGAGCAGAAUCAUUUCAUUUCCCCCGCACUUGCCAAGGGCAGGGACUUUCCCGUUUGUCCCUGCCUGAUAUGCAGGAAGGACUCAGAACUACUUAAGAACAAAUCAAUGAACCUAUGGCUUUAUGGCAAAUACCACAGAAACAACCUUAGAAAUGGGCUGAGGAGGCUGUCUGGCCUCUAACAAAUGACCUCAUCUCUCUGAACCUUAAUUUCCUCAUCAGUAAAGUGGCAGUGCAGCCCCUCCCUCACAGGACGCUCCAUGGCAGAGUGCAG